AGUGAACGCUGGCGGUAGGCCUAACACAUGCAAGUCGAACGGCAGCACAGUAAGAGCUUGCUCUUACGGGUGGCGAGUGGCGGACGGGUGAGGAAUACAUCGGAAUCUACUUUUUCGUGGGGGAUAACGUAGGGAAACUUACGCUAAUACCGCAUACGACCUACGGGUGAAAGCAGGGGAUCUUCGGACCUUGCGCGAUUGAAUGAGCCGAUGUCGGAUUAGCUAGUUGGCGGGGUAAAGGCCCACCAAGGCGACGAUCCGUAGCUGGUCUGAGAGGAUGAUCAGCCACACUGGAACUGAGACACGGUCCAGACUCCUACGGGAGGCAGCAGUGGGGAAUAUUGGACAAUGGGCGCAAGCCUGAUCCAGCCAUACCGCGUGGGUGAAGAAGGACUUCGGGUUGUAAAGCCCUUUUGUUGGGAAAGAAAAGCAGCAGGUUAAUACCCCGCUGUUAUGACGGUACCCAAAGAAUAAGCACCGGCUAACUUCGUG
rnacentral:rRNA from 1 species